CCCCAGCCCACUAUUUUAUGUUUUGAGACAGGUUCUCACUAAGUCACUGAGUUGCCCAACUUGUGAUCCUCCUGCCUGAGCCUCCCAGAGUGCUGGGAUUAUAGGCGUGUGCCACCGUAUGUGGCUCUGUCCAGUAUUUCUCUCAAAUUGCCAAGAGAGGGGUGCUGCAGUCCCAUAUUUUAAUUGUGGGAUUAUCUGUUCUUCCUUUAGGUUCCAUCAGUUUUUCCUUCAUAAUUCACAGCUCAGCCUCCUGAAUGCUGGGAUUACAGGGAUUGAACUCGGGACCUUGGCGUUUUCGAGGCAGGCGGCAAUGGCACCACUGAGCUAAAUCCCCGGCCCUAUGAGUGAGAUAAACACUUUUCAACUAAAAAAAGAAGAAGGAGCUGAGCAUGGCCAAGCGAUGAAAGAAUGUGAAAGUUUCUUUGUCUUACUGUACCUUUUCCUUGCAAUAAAAGCCCUUGCACAGGUGAGAGAGAUCUGAGGCAGUAAGAGGUAUCUAUCCCCUUCUGGGCUACCUUUGAGUAAUUUUUUUUCCUUUUCACCAGCCUCUCAUGUUUCUUAGGGAGCAGCCUCCAGUACAGAGUGGCCAGGAACAGGGCCUCUAGAGACAUGCGGAGCACUAGGGGAAUCUUGGCUCUUGAAGUAUGUCCAGCUUAUCUCUCUUCAGACUCUAGGCCAAAGACAGCCUUUCUUCUGCAUUGUGCAAAGCUGGGCUGCCUCUGGAGGUGCUCAGUGAUAUCGUGUGUCAGUCUUGAGGAUUAAAGCUUAGUAUUUGCUCACAGAGUUUUCUCAUCACAAGCAAAAAUCUGUUAGGGCCAGAGAUUUAGCUCAGUGGUGCGAUCCCUGCCUCACAAGUGCAAGGUCCUGAGUUCGAUCCUGGUACUGGGGGGAAAAAGUCUGGUACACAUCUUGCAGUUGAGUGGUUUCAGCUGUUUGUUCAAUGGCCAGUUUAUUUUGCCUCCUUUUGAGCAGUGUCAAGGAAAUGGGCCUGGCAUUGACUCUUUCUAUCCUUGCUUUGAUCUACAAGAUAACUCCAAAAAUUCGUAUCCAUGUUUUCUCCUAAUUUGCAGAUGUGCUAUAUUCAGCAUAUGUUUUGAGAAGUGCGACCUCACUAAUCCUGUAUACUGCCCAUUUCAGAACUACCCAAUUCCAAGUAGUAACAAAGGACUUUCCUCGGUGUACGCCUUUCAUAUGCAAACCAAACACUCCAGAACCUCAAUCUUUCAACUACUUCUUUCAUGAAAGUCUCACAAAUGGAGGAACUGUCUCUGCCUUCACUAACCAGGACCAGAUGUCAAGUAACUAGGGACAGUCUCUCCUGAAACUCUAGCCUACCCUAACCUGCUUAGAUUCUUUAUUUCGCACAAUAAAUACACUUGCGUUGCUUUCUUUGCACUCCUGUUUGUCCUUCCCCAACCUGGCCGAGUAUGGCUUGACGUGUGCUCUUUUUCCUGAGAACUAGGAGGUAUCUCUGCAAAGGCAACUGUCUCAGCAACUUUUGGCUUCACCAUACUUGAAUAAUAAAAUUGACCUUUUAUAAUAAUAUGCUUAAGUCGUUAAUAAGGUGCUACAUUUUAAGAGUUUAGUAAAGCAAAUCAGGCAUUUCCAUGUAAUUUCCAAAGCAUAAGGCACAGUGCACAAAACAAGACAAAUGACAGAACCAUAGAGGGGCAGAUCAAUGCUCAGAGGGGCUGUUGAAGUGAAGUAGUGAUUGAGAGAGUUCUCUGCUAGAUAAAAGGGCCCCUGCCUACAGGAAACAGUCUCUCCAGAGAGAACAAAGACCUGCUUUUUACACACACACACACACACACACACUCGCCCUCAGCUGUAGCCAAUCAUCUGCCUCCCCUACACUCCCCCUAGCCCUCAUAAACCGCACCCAGCCAGCCCCUGGCUGCUGUUCUCACCAUCGUUCGAGACAGUCCGGCAGCUCUGUCCUUUAAUAAAAGCUUUGCCUUGGGUGUUCGUGUUUCAGCUCAUUUUAUUUCUCUCAUUAUUGGUGCCGAACACCCGGGAGGGACAUGAUCGGGAUUUUGCGAUGAUCCCCCCCACCGGUCGGGGUUGAUUAGCCUCCCACCGUCCUCAGACCCUGCCGAGCCAACACCCAACCAGGGGCCCUCACUCCUGCCAUCGCUGACGCUUAACAUCCACACUGGCCUUCAGCUCCUGGGUGAGUACUCAGGUUAGCCCCGCUCUCGGGUGCCCUGCCUCUCAGUGUUCUCACUCAAAACAUCUUAGCGCUAAGUCAGAUGGACUCCUCUCUGCCCAUGGCCAGGACUGCUGCCCCUGGGGGACGCCCCAUUGGCUCGGAUCCUCUCGGUCUCUCUCCAGAGAUUGUCAAAGGGGACAAGGAUGCUCCUCACUCUCGCGCUUCUCCUCCGGAGCUUUUCUGAUACUCACCUUACAUAUCUGGCCUCCCUUUAUUAUGGGAGCUGCUCAAUCCAAACCCCCAUGAUCAACCCCUCUGAGAUGCCUAUUGGCUAACUUUAAAACUCUCGGGCUCGCUGACGACACCAAGCCUAAAUGGCUUCUUUCCUAUUGCAACCAAGCGUGGCCUCUAUAUAGAUUAGGUGACGAUUCCGAAUGGCCAGAAAAUGGAACGUUCCACCCGAAUGUUCUUCGGGACCUCCACUAUUUCUGUCAUCGCAAUGGCAAAAGGUCUGAAGUCCCCUGUGUGCAGCCUUUCAUCCACCUCCUCACGCGCCCUUCUCUUCGUCAGUCCUGCUCCACCCCUCAGAUUCUCCUCGCUCACGCGGUUUCACCCCCACUUCCAGUCUCCGCUCAGAACCAGACCCGGCUCCCUUCGACCUGGCCGACUGCCCUCCACCCCGCCCUGCAAUCCUUCUGCCUCAUCGUCCUUGGGGCCCUCGGCCGCGCCGCGCUCUGCCUCCCCACACCGCUCACUCGCUCUCACCACCGCAAACCGCCCACACCUCCUGUUUCCCCUCCUCGCACCCGCGCCCGGUACCCAACCCUUCCAGCCCCCAUCAUGCCCCUCCGGGAGGUGGCGGGAAUGGAAGGCGUUGUCAGAGUCUGCGUCCCUUUCUCCCUCACAGAUCUUUGUCAGAUUAAAAAGCGUCUUGGCUCUUUUUCCUCUGACCCUGACUCCUACAUCAAAAAAUUUCGUUACUUGACUCUGUCCUAUGAUCUGACUUGACACGACGUCUAUAUGAUACUGACUUAUCCCCAAGGACAAGGAAAGAGUUUGGACUGAGGCCCAGACCCCAACAGAUGAAUUUCAUGCUGCUGGUAACACCAAGCCAGUGGGAGACAGGCCGUCCCCUGAGAAAACCCACUAUGGAACUCUCAGCUAGGCCAGGCAGAUAGAGGCCACAGAGACCAUAUGACUCUCUGCCGCAUAGAAGGCUUAAAAAAGACAGCUCACAAGUCUGAUAACUUUGAUAAGAUUAAAGAAAUAACACAGACCCAUGAAAAACCCGGCACAGUUUCUGUAGCGCCUCACUGAGGCCCUUCAAAAAUACACCAAAAUGGAUCCUACCUCCCAGGUGGACAUGAUCAUCAUUAACACUCAGUUUAUCUCUUAGUCAGCCCCUGAUACUAAGAGAAAGCUAAAAAAGGCUGAAGAGGGUCAAAGAGGGCUUACACUCAGAUUUUUUAAAAAAACUGAAAAGAGAAAAUAAGUGCUGGAUUAAAAACAGCUAGAAAAGCUCUGAAGAAGAUAAAACAAAAUAGUAAAAAAACCCAAAAAACAAUCCACUCCUGGAUUUAAGAGCCAAGGCCAGCACCAUGUUAUCAGCCUGAUGCUGUUGUAAAGGUCUGGAAUCAAAAACAAAGCCAGAAAACUACAGCUGUGCUCUACCAGACAUCAAGAGAUUUUACCAAAAAAUCAAGUUACAAAUUUUAGUUAACCGAUAAAUGUAUUUGUUUCAAAUUGAGUUGAUGUUUAAUUGGUGUGCUUAAGACAUUUCUUGUGCAUUGUAAAUUCUUGAAUUGCAAUUAUAGGGUUAACUUACUCUUUUCUGUACUUUGUUGAUGAAAAACUCAAGGUUACUACUGUUUUAUUGGCAGCCAGUUAAAUUUUAAAAUGUAACCAUCUGAGAACAGAAAAAAAAGGGACACUUUAAAAUUUUAACAGCUGAAGAUGAGUUUGUUAUAGAAGGUUUAUAGUGAGACGGAGGAAAAAUAUUUAAAAAGCUUUCACUACUCCUAUUGCAAUGCUAAUGUUACUGAUCUUCUCUUCUUGGUGUUCAACAACUAGUUUGGAGACCAAAACUAAAAAGGUAACUGGGCUAUGAGGACAGCCAAUAUUUUAGCCCUGGCCCCUCAAGGUCAACAAAGAUCCAAGACAUAAGGGAACCUUCUCUACAGGAUCCUACCUCUUUGGAGCAGUUGGAGGUCUUUACCAAUCAGACAGUCGGUGAACUCAUUAUGGCCAGUUAUCAACCUUUUGCCACAGGAGACCACGCCAUCAUCACGUAGGACCCAGACCUGUUACCCUUUAUCACUGCCUCUGUGCUCACAGGAAGCAGCUACAAUAAAGAGACCUCUGCCCUUACUCCAUAAUAAUAUCAAGAGUCUGGAAUGAUAGAGUUCUCUGCUAGGUAAAAUGGCCCUGAGAACCCUGCAUCCUAAAAUGGCCCCUACCUACAGGAAACAAGUCACCUCCUUUUUUCCACCUCGCCCCCAGCCGUAGCCAAUCAUCUGCCACUACCACACUCCCCCAGCCCUUAUAAACCUCACCCAGCCAACCCCUGGUUGCUAUUCUCGCCAUUGUUCGAGACAGCCUGGCAGCUCUGCCCCUUAAUAAAAGCUUUAGCUUGGGUGUUCA